GAUGAACGCUGGCGGCGUGCCUAAUACAUGCAAGUCGAGCGAACGGACGAGAAGCUUGCUUCUCUGAUGUUAGCGGCGGACGGGUGAGUAACACGUGGAUAACCUACCUAUAGGACUGGGAUAACUUCGGGAAACCGGAGCUAAUACCGGAUGAUAUUUUGAACCGCAUGGUUCAAAAGUGAAAGACGGUCUUGCUGUCACUUAUAGAUGGAUCCGCGCUGCAUUAGCUAGUUGGUAAGGUAACGGCUUACCAAGGCAACGAUGCAUAGCCGACCUGAGAGGGUGAUCGGCCACACUGGAACUGAGACACGGUCCAGACUCCUACGGGAGGCAGCAGUAGGGAAUCUUCCGCAAUGGGCGAAAGCCUGACGGAGCAACGCCGCGUGAGUGAUGAAGGUCUUCGGAUCGUAAAACUCUGUUAUUAGGGAAGAACAUAUGUGUAAGUAACUGUACACAUCUUGACGGUACCUAAUCAGAAAGCCACGGCUAACUACGUG
rnacentral:rRNA from 1 species